GCACUGCUGACGAGUCGCAUACUAGGAUGAAACGGCCGUCCAGUGC
rfam:Schistosoma margrebowiei strain Zambia genome assembly, scaffold: SMRZ_scaffold0002859